GUGGUUUGAUUCACCAGUACCAGGAAUCACCUGGAAUUUGGCUUUUGUGAUGACCUUUUAACUUGUCAUAUUAAUAUGUUUUUAGUGCAUGGGUAUUAUGCAAAGAAAUAGCAACAAUAUUGUAUAUAAAAAGAUAAUUAUAUCCUUAAAAUAUUAAUAUUUGUGUAAUCAGCAUACUUAAUUCACCUCUAAAUUAUACUCCCUACCCAAAUCACAAAGAUCCUUACCAGAAACAGCUUCAGAAUAUUCUGGAAAAUCUAUUUGGGUCCCACUAUUGUAAGGGCUCCACUCAGCUCAACUCAAAACCAUUUUUAUGGAUUUAUUAAUUAUGUAUAAAAACCAUUCUCUUAUUUUUUUAUUUAUAUUUCAUACUUAUUAUGUUCAAAAUAUACGGUUUAUUUUUCACGUUAACGUAAUAGAUAGGUCUAGUUUGUAGGUGCCGUGAUUUUUUUUGUCUGACCUCCCCAUCUUAUACUUUUCUCAUCCCGUCAUAUUUAUGUGGUCAUGAUUAAACCACGUCAACAUUUUAUAUUGAUUUUUUUAUAGAAAUAAUAAAACAAAAAACAAUAGGAAUAUAAAAUGUUGACGUGGUUUAACCGUGACCACAGAAAUAGGAUGAGAUGAAAUGGGGGAGGGCAAACAAUCCAGGUCCUUUUUUUUACGAAAAGGGAUCCUCUCCGGAUCCCUUCCACCAAAUCCAUUAAUUUGGGUCUUUAAAAUAUAAUCUAACGGCUAAAGUUAUUAUAAAUUUUAAAAUGAACCUCUGUUUUUAACUGUUGAAUCAAAUUUCAAGGGUCCGGAUUAAUGAAUUUGGUAGAUUUGGUGAAAUAAAUCUAGAGAGUAUCCGUUUUCUUUUUUUUACAACUGCUUCUGUUAUGUUGUAACAAUAAAGCUAUGAAAAAAGCAGGUAAGUAUUUUGUACUCUAGUGCUAAAAAUACUUUUAGCAAAAAAUCAAGAAAGGUAGUAUUGUUGAUAUGAAAGUUUCAUUAAAAGCUGUUUGUACCAUACUUGACCAAUCCCGAAACUACUGAGUACCGGUCAACGUUAUACCGUCAAUGACCCAGAAGAGUUUCCCUCCAACCAGGAGGCCAAUCAUAGCGCGACACGUGUCAAAAUCAGAAACCAAUCAUAACGCGACAUGUGUCAACAUCAGAAGCCAAUCACAACACGAUACGUGUCAAUAUCAGAAUGAAACUAGAAACUCUCUUCUAUAAAUAUAGAUCAUUCUCUCACAAUAUUUCCUAAUGUCAUUUGUACUCAAUCAUUCACUAGUACUCACUAAAGGAGAGCUUGAACCUAUGUACUUGUGUAAACCUUCAUAAUUAAUGAGAACUCUUCUACUCCAUGGACGUAGCCAAUCUGGGUGAACCACGUACAUCUUGUGUUUGCUUCCUUAUCUCUAUUCAUUUACAUACUUAUCCACACUAAUGACCAGAGCAAUCUAGCGAAGGUCACAAACUUAACACUUUCUGUUGUAUUAAAGUCUUCACUGAUUUUGUGCAUCAACAAAAGCUAUUGUUCAUUUGCCUCCUAUAAAAAAUAACAUAUUUUUAGAAGCAUAACUAAAGUUGCUUUUGCCGUCUAUUGUUUGAGCCCCAUAAUUUUGUAGGAAAAAAAAAACACUUCUACCAAACACAAUUUUUAGCUCCAACUUUUUUUAAGAACUUGAAGUGUUUUUGGAGUCUAAGACCAUUUUUUCUGGGCUAAAUAGCCAAAAUAGUUUCUGAGAUUUGCAUAACUCAUCACUUUGGUCCCUAACAUUUCAAAUCGAUAAAAGUGGUCCCUGAGAUUGUCCACCAUCCAUCAAUUUGGUCAUUUCAUUAAAAACUCCGUUAAGUAUCCCAGAGCUCUUGGCCAGAAGUUUGGGCAAUUUUCAAAACUUUGUAACUCAAUCGUUUCUUAACCAAAUUCAACCCAUAAUAUAUCAAAAUGAAAAUAGGAAAGUGUAGAAUAAGAUUAUACCUAUUUGGAAGCCCAAUGGCUGCCGGAGAUGGUCGGAAAAUAACCUCAAAGUUGAUUCGUCCGAGGGAAAACUGGAAAACUUGCCAUAAACUGGGUAAACUUUAAACGUUCAUAACUUCUUCAAUACUCAACGAAAUCAAGUGAUUCAAAAACUAAAAUCAUUCUUCUCGAUAAGACGAAAAGAAUGGUACAUUUUUUGACGGCUAACUCGCUGUGAUUUGGCCGACUCGAAAGUGGAUGUCUUGGUCUUGAGUUAGCCUGAUUUGUAUAAUCUUCUCGAAAAUGAUUUGUGCACGCCUCUUUUCUCUUUCAGCACGUCUUUGUUUAUUUUUGUGCAUUGAUUCUCAUUUGGAUUAUUUAAUUUAAUAGUUAGAAAUGUACAACGGAGAAAAUGGAUUCACGAAAAUCACAUUCCACUAAUUUGCUAAUUUAUUUAUUUUCUUUGAAAAGGGGACUAUGACUUCGUCAAAUCAGCUCAUCUUUUUGGAGACUGAGAAGACUCACAGAGAUGUUUCAACCAUUUCUUGGCCACGGUUGUGUGAUUUGAAUUUGAUUCACUAGUGCUAGGAAUCACUUGAAAUUUGUCUCUUGUGAUGACCUUUCAACUUGUCAUAUUCAUAUGCUGCAAAGAAAUUAUAUCCUUAAAAUAUUAAUAUUUGUGUAAUCAGCAUACUUAAUUCACCUCUAAAUUAUACUCCCUACCCAAAUCACAAAAAGAUCCUUUACCAGAAACAGGUUCAGAAUAUUCUGGAAAAUCUAUUUGGGUCCCACUAUUGUAAGGGCUCCAUUCAGCUCAACUCAAGACCAUUUUUAUGGAUUUAUUAAUUAUGUAUAAAAACCAUUCUCUUAUUUUUUAUAUUUCAUACUUAUUAUGUUCAAAAUAUACGGUUUAUUUUGCACGUUAACGUAAUAGCUAGGUCUAGUUUCUAGGUGCCGUGAUUUUUUUUUACGGGAAGGGAUCC
rnacentral:lncRNA from 1 species